UUCAGCUGAAACAAUCUAGAGAGAUGGAGUGUAGAGGCCCCGCAACUGCCGCAGCCGACCACCCCAUUAGAAUUCCAUGGUCAUCCCUCCCCAAUCACACAUGACCACUUCUAAUGCUUCCAGCCAUUGAACUCCAAGAACAAAAUCGAGACCCGCUAAUGGUAAAGCAAAAAGAGUCAAAUGGAAUAGUAUACCUUGGAUGUUAACAGACAUAUUUUUAAAACGUCCGUGACAUCUCAUCGGACUACCAUUCAUAACCUUGACCGAGAAGGCUCGAGUCGAGAGUACUGGUAAUUUCAGUAUGCUCGUGACUCAUUCACUGAUGAAGUUGUGAGUCAAGCCGCUGUCGAUGAGGAUGAUGAUGCGUUGACCAUGGAUAGUUGUAGUAACACACAUCGGUUUUGUGGUGGACCAAUCAAUGAAAGCAUGAAGGGAAAUUUUAGGCUCCUCUUCUUUCGGUUCUUAUUCUUCUUUUUCAGUCCCUUCUAAGAGCAGGACUUGAGCUCGGGGACAGCGGUGGCCUGCGGUAAAUCUC
rnacentral:lncRNA from 1 species